CACCGCCCGUCACACCAUGGAAGUUAGGUGAACCUGAAAGCGCCUCUGCAACCCGCAAGGGAGCUAAGCGCUUAUGGUUUAACUGAUGACUGGGGUG
rnacentral:rRNA from 1 species